rnacentral:rRNA from 1 species
GAUGAACGCUGGCGGCGUGCUUAAUACAUGCAAGUCGAACGAACAGACGCGGCGCUUGCUCCUCUGACGUUAGCGGCAGACGGGUGAGUAACACGUGGAUAACCUACUUAUAAGACUGGGAUAAUCUCGGGACACCGGCGCUUAUACCGGAUAAUCUCUUGAACCGCAUGGUUCAAUAGUGAAAGACGGUUUUUCUGUCAGUUAUCGAUGGUUCCGCGCCGCAUUAGCUAGUUGGUAAGGUCACCGCUUUCCAAGGCUACGAUGCGUAGCCGACGUGAGAGGGUGAUCGGCGACACGGGAAGUGAGACGCGGUCCAGACUCCUACGGGAGGCAGCAGUAGGGAAUCGUCCGCAAUAGGCGAAAGUCUGGCGGAGUGGGGCGGCGUGAGUGAUGAAAAUCCUCGGAGCGUGAAACUCUGUUUUGAGUUAUGAACAAAUGUGGAAGUAGCUGUGCACGUCUUGACGGUACUGGGUCAGAAAGCCACGGCUAACUACGUG